rnacentral:rRNA from 1 species
AGCGAACGCUGGCGGCAGGCCUAACACAUGCAAGUCGAACGGAUCCUUCGGGAUUAGUGGCGGACGGGUGAGUAACACGUGGGAACGUGCCCUUUGGUUCGGAACAACUCAGGGAAACUUGAGCUAAUACCGGAUGUGCCCUUCGGGGGAAAGAUUUAUCGCCAUUGGAGCGGCCCGCGUCUGAUUAGCUAGUUGGUGGGGUAAAGGCCCACCAAGGCUACGAUCAGUAGCUGGUCUGAGAGGAUGAUCAGCCACAUUGGAACUGAGACACGGCCCAAACUCCUACGGGAGGCAGCAGUGGGGAAUCUUGCGCAAUGGGCGAAAGCCUGACGCAGCCAUGCCGCGUGAAUGAUGAAGGUCUUAGGAUUGUAAAAUUCUUUCACCGGGGACGAUAAUGACGGUACCCGGAGAAGAAGCCCCGGCUAACUUCGUGCCAGCCGCCGCUGUAAUAC